rnacentral:rRNA from 1 species
AACGAACGCUGGCGGCAUGCCUAACACAUGCAAGUCGAACGAGAUCUUCGGGUCUAGUGGCGCACGGGUGCGUAACGCGUGGGAAUCUGCCCUUUGGUUCGGAAUAACAGUUGGAAACGACUGCUAAUACCGGAUGAUGACGAAAGUCCAAAGAUUUAUCGCCAGAGGAUGAGCCCGCGUAGGAUGAGCUAGUCGGUGUGGUAAAGGCGCACCAAGGCGACGAUCCUUAGCUGGUCUGAGAGGAUGAUCAGCCACACUGGGACUGAGACACGGCCCAGACUCCUACGGGAGGCAGCAGUGGGGAAUAUUGGACAAUGGGCGAAAGCCUGAUCCAGCAAUGCCGCGUGAGUGAUGAAGGCCUUAGGGUUGUAAAGCUCUUUUACCCGGGAUGAUAAUGACAGUACCGGGAGAAUAAGCUCCGGCUAACUCCGUGCCAGCCGCCGCCGUAAUAC